GACGAACGCUGGCGGCGUGCUUAACACAUGCCAGUCGAACGGAAAGGCCCUGCUUUUGUGGGGUGCUCGAGUGGCGAAGGGGGGAGUAACCCGUGAGUAACCUGCCCUUGACUUUGGGAUAACUUCAGGCAACUGGGGCUAAUACCGGAUAGGAGCUCCUGCUGCAUGGUGGGGGUUGGAAAGUUUCGGCGGUUGGUGAUGGACUCGCGGCUUAUCAGCUUGUUGGUGGGGUAGUGGCAUACCAAGGCUUUGACCGGUAGCCUGCCUGAGAGGGUGACCGGCCACGUUGGGACUGAGAUACGGCACAGACUCGUAUGGGAGGCAGCAGUGGGGAAUAGUGCACAAUGGGCGGAAGGCUGAUGCAGCAACGCCGCGUGCGGGAUGACGGCCAUCGGGUUGUAAUCCGCUUUCGCCUGUGACGAGGCGUGAGUGACGGUACUGGGUAAAGAAGCACCGGCUAACUACGUG
rnacentral:rRNA from 1 species